GAUGAACGCUGGCGGCGUGCCUAAUACAUGCAAGUCGAGCGAACAGACGAUGAGCUUGCUCCUCUGACGUUAGCGGCGGACGGGUGAGUAACACGUGGAUAACCUACCUAUAAGACUGGGAUAACUUCGGGAAACCGGAGCUAAUACCGGAUAAUAUAUUGAACCGCAUGGUUCAAUAGUGAAAGACGGUUUUGCUGUCACUUAUAGAUGGAUCCGCGCCGCAUUAGCUAGUUGGUAAGGUAACGGCUUACCAAGGCAACGAUGCGUAGCCGACCUGAGAGGGGGAUCGGCCACAAGGGAACUGAGACACGGUCAAGACGACUACGGGAGGCAGCAGUAGGGAAUCUUACGCAAUGGGCGAAAGCCUGACGGAGAAACGCCGCGUGAGUGAUGAAGGUCUUCGGAGCGUAAAACUCUGUUAUUAGGGAAGAACAAAUGUGUAAGUAACUAUGCACGUAUUGACGGUACCUAAUCAGAAAGCCACGGCUAACUACGUG
rnacentral:rRNA from 1 species